ensembl:snRNA U6 U6 spliceosomal RNA
GUGUUUGCUUUAGUGGCACAAACACAAAAAAUUGGAACAAUACAGAGAUUGACAUGAGCCUUGCAUAAAGAUGAUAAUCAAAUUUGUGAAUAGUUUUUUUUU